rnacentral:piRNA from 1 species
UGCCACUAGCACUGCAGCACUGUGUCUCC